UAUAAUAAAAGGGUAAUAUGCAAAUAGACUAAACGGUAGAUCACCCGAACAACCAAUCAAGGUGUAAUAUGAUAAUGAUAUGCUAAGGGAGAGAGCUGAUCGG